rnacentral:rRNA from 1 species
AUUCAAAUCCUUUAACGAGGAUCUAGCGGAGGGCAAGUCUGGUGCCAGCAGCCGCGGUAAUUCCAGCUCCGCAGGUGUAUAUCUAUGCUGCUGCUUAAAAAGCUCGUAGUUGGAUCUGCGUGCUCGGAACUGGUUGGCUCACUGAGUUCAAACUGGUCUCCGGCGCUUUAUUGGCUGGUUUUCCCUUGAUGCUCUUAACCGGGUGUCUUGGGUGGCUAGCACGUUUACUUUAAAAAAAUUAGAGUGCUCAAUACAGGCGUAAAGCCUUGAAUAGUGGUGCAUGGAAUAAUAGAAUAGGACCUCGGCUCUAUUUUGUUGGUUUUCGGAACGCGUGGUAAUGAUUAAGAGGGACAGACGGGGGCAUUCGUAUUGCGACGUUAGAGGUGAAAUUCUUGGAUCGUCGCAAGACGGACGACUGCGAAAGCAUUUGCCAAGAAUGUUUUCAUUAAUCAAGAACGAAAGUUAGAGGUUCGAAGGCGAUCAGAUACCGCCCUAGUUCUAACCGUAAACGAUGCCAACUAGCGAUUCGCAGGCGUUAAACAACGACCUUGCGGGCAGCUUCCCGGAAACGAAAGUGUUCGGGUUCCGGGGGAAGUAUGGUUGCAAAGCUGAAACUUAAAGGAAUUGACGGAAGGGCACCACCAGGAGUGGAGCCUGCGGCUUAAUUUGACCCAACACGGGAAAACUCACCCGGCCCGGACACCGUAAGGAUUGACAGAUUGAGAGCUCUUUCUUGAUUCGGUGGGUGGUGGUGCAUGGCCGUUCUUAGUUGGUGGAGCGAUUUGUCUGGUUUAUUCCGAUAACGAACGAGACUCUGGCCUACUAAAUAGUGGGCGGAUUCUUUCUGUCCGCAACACUUCUUAGAGGGACAAGCGGUGUUCAGCCGCACGAGAUUGAGCAAUAACAGGUCUGUGAUGCCCUUAGAUGUCCGGGGCUGCACGCGCGCUACACUGAAGGAAUCAGCGUGCUUUCUGACCUUGCCCGAAAGGGCUGGGUAACCCGAUGAAAAUCCUUCGUGAUUGGGAUAGGGACUUGCAAUUAUUUCCCUUGAACGAGGAAUUCCCAGUAAGUGUGGGUCAUAAGCUCGCGUUGAUUACGUCCCUGCCCUUUGUACACACCGCCCGUCGCUGCCCGGAACUGAGCCGUGUCGAGAAGAACAGGGACCGUCGUUGAAGGGCCUUAACGGGCUUUUCUCUGAUAGAAACUGUUUUAAUCGCAGUGGCUUGAACCGGGCAA